rnacentral:rRNA from 1 species
UACGUAGGUGGCAAGCGUUGUCCGGAAUUAUUGGGCGUAAGCGCGACGCAGGCGGCUUCUUAAGUCUGAUGUGAAAUCUCGGGGCUCAAACCCCGGAGCCGGCCAGUUGGAAACUGGGAGCUUGAGUACAGAAGAGGAGAGUCGAAUUCCACGUGGUAGCGGUGAAAUGCGUAGAUAUGAUGGAGGAACACUAGUGGCGAAGGCGACUCUCGUGGUCUGUAACCUGGACGCUGAGGCGCGAAAUCUGGGGAGCAAACAGG